ensembl:lncRNA
AUUUUUGAUCAAAUAAUGCAGCCUUGGUGAGUAUCAGUUUUUGUGUGUUUUGGAAAAGGUUUUUUCAUGGAAAAGAGAGUCCAGCACUUUUCAAAGAAAAAGACUGUAAAUAAAGACAGAAUUCACAUCAAGUAAGCAAAAAUCAGUAUGCAGCAAGUUUCCAGCCCUCUUGGGUCAUGUGACUUAAUUGCCUGUUUGCUCUAUUUAUCUCUGUGAAAAACUGCUCUGGGUUCACAAAGUGUAGAGAAUAAUCAGCUGGAUCAAACACUGCCUUAAAUUACAGCAGAGAAUCAAAUAGCGGCUGAUGUCUAUUCAUCCGCAUGGAUGCUCAAGAACACACCUCUUUGAUCCGGGUUCGAAGACCUCCCUGAAUCUGCUGGUACCCCUUCCACCUGAUGUUCAGAGACCACCUUUCUGAGGAAACAGGAAGAGGCCAUGUUCAGACUGCCUGUAGAUCAGCUAACGUGGAUGUGAGCCAUGCAGUGUUUUCU